AGGGAGACUAAAAGGGAGUUUAAAGGGGUGCUGAAACGUUUUUUCUAAAAAAAAAAAACAAAAAAAAAAAACGUAAUUUAUCCAAACUUAUUGAUACGUACAUGCUGCAACUUUAAGAUGCGAAAUGGAAUCAGGUUAUAUAGCUACGUACCUACAAGUUACGCACGGUGUGUGAAAACCUUGCAUCUACAUCUAUCUUGAAUGAGAGGGAGAUUCACUGGGCAGAAAAACGAUACAGUGCACACAGCCCCCAACUUUCUAUUAUUAGAUCGAGGCCCACCCUCGAUUCUGAUACUCGUACUGUCAUACACCGACAGAGCCUCCUCUUUACCGACGACAAAAUCAGCCAAUUUGGUUGGGCAACUCGGGGACCGGCCAUGAUGUUAUAAAGCUAGCUAGGUAGCAAACUGGCAGGAGGUCGCAUAUUGCUAGCUACACACUUGUCCUUGUUUUCUACGUUGAUUGGUUUCCUAUCAAUUGCCAGCUAGCUACCACUGGCAGUCAAACAAACUUUAUUUUGACGAUAAUAUUUACUACAAAACGAUUUCCUUGUUACAAUGGCCUCCACCCCUUCUGCUUCUGCCCUGUCUGCUGUCCUCCGGUGCAGGGGAAACAUAUUUGCUAGAAACAAGAAGAGGCCUCCUCCCGGCAGCGGAUACAGCCUGGGAGCAAAGUGCGGCGCCGCAGGCGAGUCGGGAGUACCUAUACUGGGCAAAGAACACGGAUGGGAAUUUGGUCAGACUUUGCAAGAAUUUAAGUCUUUUUUUCUGGGGCAACGUGUUGAAAUCAGGAAUGGUGUGUUUCUGACAGUUACGUUGGAAACAAGUAGAAAAAGCAGGACAGACACGCAUUCAAGUAAUCGAACUGCCAUCAAUGACAAAGAACGAAGAAAAGUUUCUAAGACUGAUUCGCAGAAUGAUCCAAUCGGAUCCCUCUACUUUUUACAGGCGAGUUCGUCGCGAGCGGCCCAGCAAUGUUACCGACUGAGAUUUCUGAAGGAGCCAAACUCGUCACAAACGCGUUUGUUUACUUCUGGGAUCAGGCAGUGCCUUGGGAUAAAAAACUGUGACGAAUAUGGUAUGAUUGUGCACUCAAAGAGCAAUAAAAAACUUUUGGGAAAAUUAUUGGACUCAGCCACUUGGAAGGUUUUGUGUAUAUCAAUUAGUUAUUUACCUAAAUCGGAUAGAGCCGGCGAACAAAUCUCUGAACCAGUUGCAUUGUGUUGGAAAGGCUGGACGACUCUCAAGAAUGGAUGCAUAAUAUUGACUGCAGUUAUUUCUGAAAUGCUGCGGAUGCAACUUGGAAUGGAAAACGGUCGUCUUUCGAUUCCAUCCGUCUUCAAACCUGCUGUUCUAGAAAACCCGAAGUCUCGCUCCGUCAAACGCCGGUCCUUGUCAAUCAGUCACAGCGCCCAAACAAUGGAAAAUGAUUUGAAUGGGCAAAGUGGGGAUACUACCGGUCAGAAAGUGAAGCUAGGAGGGCUUGGAACAAGUGGUGAACAUCAGCCUCUUGGAGGAAUCACCAAAAUGGGCAAGCUGGACUGAGGGCUUUUGCACAGAACAUUACCGCAGAACGGCAGAAAUUGAUACAAACGAUGCUUGAUGACAUUAGUUCUUGUUAGCACAUCCCUAUGCUAACAAGUAACAAAAUCUAUAUCCCUGACUGAAUUCCACCCCCACCCCCUCCCCCUCUACAUUAUGUAAGAAGGGCUGUGUACUUCAGCAAUGCAAAAAAAUAAAAUAAAAAAUCAUAAAAUAGGACUUUUUGUUUUUGUAGGUGUAACAGGAGCUAAUUAUCCAAAGAACUGUGGGCUCAAACUUUUAUUUUAUUUUUUUGUACGAAAUAUUUCCACCACCGGGGUAGAGUGCCAAGAAAUAUGAUUUUUAUUCAAGUUCAUUAUAAAUGUAAACAAAAUGCCUGAGUACACAUCACAACCUGUGAUAGGUGAGAGGACAUCAUGACCUGCCAAUUACAACCAGCAGGGGGUGUCGUUUGCUGGCCAAAUGUCAACAAAAAAAAGAAAAGGAAAAACGAAGGAAAAUGAGUGAUUGUGAGAACUACACAUUCAGACAGUCUAGGAUCAAAAUUUGACUCCUUGGCUGAGGCUAAUUUUAAGUGAAAUAAAUACAUGCUCGCAUUAGAAUUUGCAGGUGGACUAGGUUUCCCGAUGUCCUCAGGAUGGUUCACCUAAUAUCCCUACUUUAGUAAAAUCACAGACCUGGAUUAACUUUUUCCAUGUGAAUUUUUUGCUCAUAUGUGUACAACCCUGGUAAGAAUUAAAGUUCUUAAACACGGGUGAACAAAACAAUUGGAGGUGGAUAUAGUGGGAAAUCAUUGGAUACAAUCAGUAGAUACAGUGGUCAGGGACAAUGUUAGGAAACUUUAGUGACUGGCAAAUUCACACAUAACGGCAUUAACUGAAGUAAAAUAAUUCAUAUAAAUGCAAUAAGGCUAUUUCAGAUGAGUGUACAGUAUUUGAGAAAAUGCCCUUGGCUUCCAGAUGAAAGAAGGAUAAUAUACACUGUAUUCCUAAAGUUAGGUGAACUUUCAUGCAAUUCUAAGAAAUAUUUGUACUAUCAUUAUAGUAAUGACUUGCAGCUGAACACUAUGAUGUGGACACUUUUUUCGAUUUUGAUUUGAAAUAUAAACGCUACUGCAUGCCAAAACCUGUUAGCCUAGAGAUUAGGGAGAUGCAAACUAUUGUAGAAGCAAAGGGUGACAUUCAGCUGUGAAAACUCCUAACCUACCCUACUUCACACUGGAUAUUAGGUAUCACUACAUUUUAUGGGGUUUCCUUUAAUGUGCUGGAAAUCAACCUAUUAACUGCCACAGUCCUUCUAAAUGUUACAGUGUUGAUAUUAGAUGUGUCUGAAUGGUUGCUUGUGGAAAUGAUUCAGGUUUGAACAAAAUAAAAGUUGACAUUUUUGGC